UACGUAGGGUGCGAGCGUUGUCCGGAAUUAUUGGGCGUAAAGAGCUUGUAGGCGGUUUGUCGCGUCUGCUGUGAAAAUCCGGGGCUCAACCCCGGACUUGCAGUGGGUACGGGCAGACUAGAGUGUGGUAGGGGGAGACUGGAAUUCCUGGUGUAGCGGUGAAAUGCGCAGAUAUCAGGAGGAACACCGAUGGCGAAGGCAGGUCUCUGGGCAUUAAACUGA
rnacentral:rRNA from 1 species